AUUGAACGCUGGCGGCAGGCCUAACACAUGCAAGUCGAGCGGAUGAAGGGAGCUUGCUCCUGGAUUCAGCGGCGGACGGGUGAGUAAUGCCUAGGAAUCUGCCUGGUAGUGGGGGAUAACGUCCGGAAACGGGCGCUAAUACCGCAUACGUCCUGAGGGAGAAAGUGGGGGAUCUUCGGACCUCACGCUAUCAGAUGAGCCUAGGUCGGAUUAGCUAGUUGGUGGGGUAAAGGCCUACCAAGGCGACGAUCCGUAACUGGUCUGAGAGGAUGAUCAGUCACACUGGAACUGAGACACGGUCCAGACUCCUACGGGAGGCAGCAGUGGGGAAUAUUGGACAAAGGGCGAAAGCCUGAUCCAGCCAUGCCGCGUGUGUGAAGAAGGUCUUCGGAUUGUAAAGCACUUUAAGUUGGGAGGAAGGGCAGUAAGUUAAUACCUUGCUGUUUUGACGUUACCAACAGAAUAAGCACCGGCUAACUUCGUA
rnacentral:rRNA from 1 species